GGCGCCUUAGGAUGAAUCUGCGGCCUAUCAGGUUGUAGUGGGUGUAACGUACCUACUAGCCGACGACGGGUACGGGUUGUGAGAGCAAGAGCCCGGAGAUGGAUUCUGAGACAUGAAUCCAGGCCCUACGGGGCGCAGCAGGCGCGAAAACUUUACAAUGCGGGAAACCGCGAUAAGGGGACACUGAGUGCCAGCAUACAAUGUUGGCUGUCCGCAUGUAUAAAUAGCAUGUGUUAGCAAGGGCCGGGCAAGACCGGUGCCAGCCGCCGCGGUAACACCGGCGGCCCGAGUGGUGGCCACUAUUAUUGGGUCUAAAGGGUCCGUAGCCGGUUUGAUCAGUCUUCCGGGAAAUCUGACAGCUCAACUGUUAGGCUUCCGGGGGAUACUGUCAGACUUGGGACCGGGAGAGGUAAGAGGUACUACAGGGGUAGGAGUGAAAUCUUGUAAUCCUUGUGGGACCACCAGUGGCGAAGGCGUCUUACCAGAACGGGUCCGACGGUGAGGGACGAAAGCUGGGGGCACGAACCGGAUUAGAUACCCGGGUAGUCCCAGCCGUAAACGAUGCUCGCUAGGUGUCUGGGAUGGUGCGACCGUUUCAGGUGCCGCAGGGAAGCCGUGAAGCGAGCCACCUGGGAAGUACGGCCGCAAGGCUGAAACUUAAAGGAAUUGGCGGGGGAG
rnacentral:rRNA from 1 species